AACGAACGCUGGCGGCAUGCCUAACACAUGCAAGUCGAACGAGACCUUCGGGUCUAGUGGCGCACGGGUGCGUAACGCGUGGGAACCUGCCCUUAGGUUCGGAAUAACUCCCCGAAAGGGGUGCUAAUACCGGAUAAUGUCUUCGGACCAAAGAUUUAUCGCCUUUGGAUGGGCCCGCGUUGGUUUAGCUAGUUGGUAGGGUAAAAGCCUACCAAGGCGACGAUCCAUAGCUGGUCUGAGAGGAUGAUCAGCCACACUGGGACUGAGACACGGCCCAGACUCCUACGGGAGGCAGCAGUGGGGAAUAUUGGACAAUGGGCGAAAGCCUGAACCAGCAAUGCCGCGUGAGUGAUGAAGGCCUGAGGGUAGUAAAGCUCUUUUACCCGGGAUGAUAAUGACAGUACCGGGAGAAUAAGCACCGGCUAACUCCGUG
rnacentral:rRNA from 1 species